GAAGCGCCCCGCAAGGGGAGCGGCAGACGGGUGAGUAACGCGUGGGAAUCUACCCUUUUCUACGGAAUAACGCAGGGAAACUUGUGCUAAUACCGUAUGAGCCCUUCGGGGGAAAGAUUUAUCGGGAAAGGAUGAGCCCGCGUUGGAUUAGCUAGUUGGUGGGGUAAAGGCCUACCAAGGCGACGAUCCAUAGCUGGUCUGAGAGGAUGAUCAGCCACAUUGGGACUGAGACACGGCCCAAACUCCUACGGGAGGCAGCAGUGGGGAAUAUUGGACAAUGGGCGCAAGCCUGAUCCAGCCAUGCCGCGUGAGUGAUGAAGGCCCUAGGGUUGUAAAGCUCUUUCACCGGUGAAGAUAAUGACGGUAACCGGAGAAGAAGCCCCGGCUAACUUCGUGCCAGCAGCCGCGGUAAUACGAAGGGGGCUAGCGUUGUUCGGAAUUACUGGGCGUAAAGCGCACGUGGCGGACAUUUAAGUCGGGGUGAAAUCCCAGAGCUCAACUCUGGAACUGCCUUUGAUACUGGGUGUCUAGAGUAUGGAAGAGGUGAGUGGAAUUCCGAGUGUAGAGGUGAAAUUCGUAAUAUUCGGAGGAACACCAGUGGCGAAGGCGGCUCACUGGUCAUUACUGACCUGAAGUGCGAAA
rnacentral:rRNA from 1 species